rnacentral:tRNA from 14 species
GACACUAGCUCAGUUGGUAGAGCGCAACCUUGCCAAGGUUGAGGUCACGAGUUCGAACCUCGUGUGUCGCUCCA